rnacentral:rRNA from 1 species
ACGGAGUUAGCCGGUGCUUAUUCCUCGGGUACCGUCACCAUCUUCCCCGAGAAAAGGGCUUUACAACCCUAAGGCCUUCGUCACCCACGCGGCGUCGCUGGAUCAGGGUUUCCCCCAUUGUCCAAGAUUCCCC